rnacentral:rRNA from 1 species
UAAUCAUUAGUUUCUUAAUUAGGAGCUUGUAUGAAGGGUUGAACGAGGAAAUUACUGUCUCAUAUUAAUUUGUAUUAGAACUUUAUAUUUAAGUGAAAAAGCUUAAAUGUAUUUAAAAGACGAGAAGACCCUAUAGAGUUUUAUAUUACUUUAAUAAUAAGAAUUUAUUUGAAUUAUAACUAGUUUUAUUAUUAAUAAUAUUUUGUUGGGGUGACAGGGAAAUUUAUAGAACUUUCUUUUAUACUGAACAUAAUUUUAUGAAUUGAUGAUCCAAUAUUUUUGAUUAUAAGAUUAAAUUACCUUAGGGAUAACAGCGUUAUUUUACUAGAGAGUUCAAAUCGAAAGUAAAGUUUGCGACCUCGAUGUUGGAUUAAAAUUUAUUGUUGGUGUAGAAGCUAACAAACUAAGUCUGUUCGACUUUUAAAAUUUU